CUACGCUCUGGGUAAUUUUAAAAAGACUGGCGGUUUACUACUUGGCUCAAGGUUUUGAAAGUCAAGGGCCUGUGUAGAAGAGGGUCUUUUUUAUUUUAUUUUUUUAAUUUGCCAAAGGACAUUUUUCGACUGCUGGGGAGAGACAGCGGGGAAGCGAGAAAGCUUCCCUACAGGGGUGCAGCCACGGCUCCAUGCGGCGUGGGAAACUCGGCACUCACGCAACCAGCAGCACGGCCCUAGCAACGGCAGCCCAUGCCGUCCAAGAACUGCUUGGUUAUAUCAGCUGUCUUCAACGCUCCUCUCUCGCACUCGGUCUCAGGACAGCUGUGUGCAGUGUUCAGAGAAGCAUCCUCGUCAUCUUCUGGAUUGAUCAUGCCAACUCAAGGGUGGCCUGCAGAGCUCCAGAACUGGCCGAAACCUUGGCAUCGCAGAGCAUGGAAGCCACUGCCUACCCGCGAGCCACCUCUUCACGCAAGAACGAUGUCCUCUCCCAUGCACAAAUGACCUUCCAGAAGUCCAUCUCCCCUGCAUGUCCACGGUCCGAGGCUGACAUGCACCUUCAGCUGGAUCCCUGCUCUACCGCAGGUGGGGCUUCCGAACUUCACUGACAUUCAGUGUCCCUUCCAGGAGCAAGUCCAUUCCCAACCUUCCACCCCCCCCCCUUUCCCUUAGAGCCAGCCCUUUUCUGGGUUUGCAUUCUAAGAUUACCAGGACCCCCUAGCCCUGUGGGCAGCCCAGCUGUCUCCCAGAGUCCCCUA